rnacentral:rRNA from 1 species
AAGCAUGAGCUGUGAUGGGGAAGGAAAUUAAGUACGGAAGUUCCUGAUUUCACGCUGUCAAGAAAAGCCUCUAGGAAGAGUAGUACUGCCCGUACCGCAAACCGACACAGGUAGAUGAGGAGAGAAUCCUAAGGUGAGCGAGAGAACUCUCGUUAAGGAACUCGGCAAAAUGACCCCGUAACUUCGGGAGAAGGGGUGCUCUAUUAGGGUGCAAGCCCGAGAGAGCCGCAGUGAAUAGGCCCAGGCGACUGUUUAGCAAAAACACAGGUCUCUGCAAAACCGUAAGGUGACGUAUAGGGGCUGACGCCUGCCCGGUGCUGGAAGGUUAAGAGGAGUGCUUAGCUUCGGCGAAGGUACGAAUUGAAGCCCCAGUAAACGGCGGCCGUAACUAUAACGGUCCUAAGGUAGCGAAAUUCCUUGUCGGGUAAGUUCCGACCCGCACGAAAGGCGCAACGAUCUGGGCACUGUCUCAACGAGAGACUCGGUGAAAUUAUAGUACCUGUGAAGAUGCAGGUUACCCGCGACAGGACGGAAAGACCCCGUGGAGCUUUACUGCAACCUGAUAUGGAAUGUUUGUACCGCUUGUACAGGAUAGGUAGGAGCCGAAGAGACGUGUGCGCUAGCAUACGAGGAGGCAAUGGUGGGAUACUACCCUGGCUGUAUGACCAUUCUAACCCGCCACGCUUAGCGCGUGGGGAGACAGUGUCAGGUGGGCAGUUUGACUGGGGCGG